rnacentral:rRNA from 1 species
GGUUAAGCGACUAAGCGUACACGGUGGAUGCCCUGGCAGUCAGAGGCGAUGAAGGACGUGCUAAUCUGCGAAAAGCGUCGGUAAGGUGAUAUGAACCGUUAUAACCGGCGAUGUCCGAAUGGGGAAACCCAGUGCAAUUCGUUGCACUAUCGUUAACUGAAUACAUAGGUUAACGAGGCGAACCGGGGGAACUGAAACAUCUAAGUACCCCGAGGAAAAGAAAUCAACCGAGAUUCCCCCAGUAGCGGCGAGCGAACGGGGAGCAGCCCAGAGUCUGAAUCAGCUUGUGUGUUAGUGGAACGGUCUGGAAAGUCCGACGGUACAGGGUGAUAGUCCCGUACACCAAAAUGCACAGGUUGUGAACUCGAAGAGUAGGGCGGGACACGUGGUAUCCUGUCUGAAUAUGGGGGGACCAUCCUCCAAGGCUAAAUACUCCUGACUGACCGAUAGUGAACCAGUACCGUGAGGGAAAGGCGAAAAGAACCCCGGCGAGGGGAGUGAAAAAGAACCUGAAACCGUGUACGUACAAGCAGUGGGAGCACCUUCGGGUGUGACUGCGUACCUUUUGUAUAAUGGGUCAGCGACUUAUAUUCUGUAGCAAGGUUAACCGUAUAGGGGAGCCGCAGGGAAACCGAGUCUUAACUGGGCGUUAAGUUGCAGGGUAUAGACCCGAAACCCGGUGAUCUAGCCAUGGGCAGGUUGAAGGUUGGGUAACACUAACUGGAGGACCGAACCGACUAAUGUUGAAAAAUUAGCGGAUGACUUGUGGCUGGGGGUGAAAGGCCAAUCAAACCGGGAGAUAGCUGGUUCUCCCCGAAAGCUAUUUAGGUAGCGCCUCGUGAAUUCAUCUUCGGGGGUAGAGCACUGUUUCGGCUAGGGGGUCAUCCCGACUUACCAACCCGAUGCAAACUACGAAUACCGAAGAAUGUUAUCACGGGAGACACACGGCGGGUGCUAACGUCCGUCGUGAAGAGGGAAACAACCCAGACCGCCAGCUAAGGUCCCAAAGUCAUGGUUAAGUGGGAAACGAUGUGGGAAGGCACAGACAGCCAGGAUGUUGGCUUAGAAGCAGCCAUCAUUUAAAGAAAGCGUAAUAGCUCACUGGUCGAGUCGGCCUGCGCGGAAGAUGUAACGGGGCUAAACCAUGCACCGAAGCUGCGGCAGCGACACUAUGUGUUGUUGGGUAGGGGAGCGUUCUGUAAGCCUGCGAAGGUGUGCUGUGAGGCAUGCUGGAGGUAUCAGAAGUGCGAAUGCUGACAUAAGUAACGAUAAAGCGGGUGAAAAGCCCGCUCGCCGGAAGACCAAGGGUUCCUGUCCAACGUUAAUCGGGGCAGGGUGAGUCGACCCCUAAGGCGAGGCCGAAAGGCGUAGUCGAUGGGAAACAGGUUAAUAUUCCUGUACUUGGUGUUACUGCGAAGGGGGGACGGAGAAGGCUAUGUUAGCCGGGCGACGGUUGUCCCGGUUUAAGCAUGUAGGCUGAUUGUCCAGGCAAAUCCGGAUAAUCAAGGCUGAGGUGUGAUGACGAGGCACUACGGUGCUGAAGUAACAAAUGCCCUGCUUCCAGGAAAAGCCUCUAAGCAUCAGGUAACAUCAAAUCGUACCCCAAACCGACACAGGUGGUCAGGUAGAGAAUACCAAGGCGCUUGAGAGAACUCGGGUGAAGGAACUAGGCAAAAUGGUGCCGUAACUUCGGGAGAAGGCACGCUGGUGUGUAGGUGAAGUCCCUGCGGAUGGAGCUGAGACCAGUCGAAGAUACCAGCUGGCUGCAACUGUUUAUUAAAAACACAGCACUGUGCAAACACGAAAGUGGACGUAUACGGUGUGACGCCUGCCCGGUGCCGGAAGGUUAAUUGAUGGGGUUAUCCGUAAGGAGAAGCUCUUGAUCGAAGCCCCGGUAAACGGCGGCCGUAACUAUAACGGUCCUAAGGUAGCGAAAUUCCUUGUCGGGUAAGUUCCGACCUGCACGAAUGGCGUAAUGAUGGCCAAGCUGUCUCCACCCGAGACUCAGUGAAAUUGAACUCGCUGUGAAGAUGCAGUGUACCCGCGGCAAGACGGAAAGACCCCGUGAACCUUUACUAUAGCUUGACACUGAACAUUGAGCCUUGAUGUGUAGGAUAGGUGGGAGGCUUUGAAGCGUGGACGCCAGUCUGCGUGGAGCCAACCUUGAAAUACCACCCUUUAAUGUUUGAUGUUCUAACGUUGGCCCCUGACCGGGGUUGCGGACAGUGUCUGGUGGGUAGUUUGACUGGGGCGGUCUCCUCCCAAAGCGUAACGGAGGAGCACGAAGGUUAGCUAAUCCUGGUCGGACAUCAGGAGGUUAGUGCAAUGGCAUAAGCUAGCUUGACUGCGAGCGUGACGGCGCGAGCAGGUGCGAAAGCAGGUCAUAGUGAUCCGGUGGUUCUGAAUGGAAGGGCCAUCGCUCAACGGAUAAAAGGUACUCCGGGGAUAACAGGCUGAUACCGCCCAAGAGUUCAUAUCGACGGCGGUGUUUGGCACCUCGAUGUCGGCUCAUCACAUCCUGGGGCUGAAGUAGGUCCCAAGGGUAUGGCUGUUCGCCAUUUAAAGUGGUACGCGAGCUGGGUUUAGAACGUCGUGAGACAGUUCGGUCCCUAUCUGCCGUGGGCGCUGGAGAAUUGAGGGGGGCUGCUCCUAGUACGAGAGGACCGGAGUGGACGCAUCACUGGUGUUCGGGUUGUCAUGCCAAUGGCACUGCCCGGUAGCUAAAUGCGGAAGAGAUAAGUGCUGAAAGCAUCUAAGCACGAAACUUGCCCCGAGAUGAGUUCUCCCUGAGACUAUAAGUCUCCUGAAGGAACGUUAAAGACGAUGACGUUGAUAGGCCGGGUGUGUAAGCGCAGCGAUGCGUUGAGCUAACCGGUACUAAUGAACCGUGAGGCUUAACCUU